GAUGAACGCUAGCUACAGGCUUAACACAUGCAAGUCGAGGGGUAACGAGAGGAAAGCUUGCUUUCCUUGUCGACGACCGGCGCACGGGUGAGUAACGCGUAUCCAACCUGCCCCUAACUAGGGGAUAACCUUGCGAAAGUAAGACUAAUACCCUAUAAUUUCCUCAGAUGUCAUCUGACGAGGAAUAAAGAUUUAUCGGUUGUGGAUGGGGAUGCGUCUGAUUAGCUUGUUGGCGGGGUAACGGCCAGCCAAGGCAACGAUCAGUAGGGGUUCUGAGAGGAAGGUACCCAACCUUGCAACUGAGACAGUGUCCAAACGCCUACGGGGGGGAGCAGUGAGGAAUAGUGGACAAUGGGCUGAAGCCUGAACAAGCCAAGUAGAGUGCAGGAUGACGGCCCUAUGGGUUGUAAACUGCUUUUAUACAGGAAUAAAGUUAGCCACGUGUGGUUAUUUGUAGGUACUGUAUGAAUAAGGACCGGCUAAUUCCGUGCCAGCCGCCGCGGUAA
rnacentral:rRNA from 1 species